UACGUAGGGGGCAAGCGUUGUCCGGAAUCAUUGGGCGUAAAGCGCGUGUAGGCGGUCCGGUAAGUCCGUUCUGAAAGUCGGGGGCUCAACCCUCGGAUGCGGGUGGAUACUGUCGGGCUAGAGUGCGGAAGAGGCGAGUGGAAUUCCUGGUGUAGCGGUGAAAUGCGCAGAUAUCAGGAGGAACACCAAUUGCGAAGGCAGCUCGCUGGGACGUUACUGACGCUGAGACGCGAAAGCGAGGGGAGCGAACAGG
rnacentral:rRNA from 1 species